UACGGAGGGUGCGAGCGUUGUUCGGAAUUACUGGGCGUAAAGGGCGCGUAGGCGGCCGAUCAAGUCAGAUGUGAAAGCCCACGGCUCAACCGUGCGAAGUGCAUCUGAAACUGGUUGGCUUGAGUAUGGGAGGGGAAAGUGGAAUUCCCGGUGUAGAGGUGAAAUUCGUAGAUAUCGGGAGGAACACCGGUGGCGAAGGCGACUUUCUGGACCAAUACUGACGCUGAGGCGCGAAAGCGUGGGGAGCAAACAGG
rnacentral:rRNA from 1 species